AUUAAAUUAAAUUAAAUUAAAUUAAAUUUCCAAGUGCCCUUAAUGAGGCUGCGGCCUCUUUAAGGGGAGGGGCGGGGUUUAAAGGGGGCGUGGUUUAAAGGGGCGGGGUUUAGGGGGGCGGGGUUUAAAGGGGCGUGGCCUCGCUCUGGCCCCGCCCCCUCGGAGCCGGAGCAGCCGAGACCCAAAAACCCAAAUUGGGCUCCGGGAGCCCCGAAUCGGCCACCGGGGCCACCACAGGUACCGCGUGUCACCUUUUUGUCACCUCAAUGUCACCUGUGUCACCCCAAUGUCACCUGUGUGUCACCUGUGUGUCACCUGUGUCAUCUGUGUGUCACCUGUGUCACCUGUUUGUCACCUGUGUCACCUGAAUGUCACCUGUGUGUCACCUGUGUCACCUCAGUGUCACCUGUGUGUCACCUGUGUCACCUCUGUGUCACCUGUGUGUCACCUGUGUCACCUGUGUCACCUCAAUGUCACCUGUGUGUCACCUCAGUGUCACCUCAGUGUCACCUGUGUCACCUGUGUCACCUCAGUGUCACCUGUGUCACCUCAGUGUCACCCCAAUGUCACCUGUGUCACUUGUGUGUCACCUGUGUCACCUCUGUGUCACCUCAAUGUCACCUGUGUGUCACCUGUGUCACCUCAGUGUCACCUGUGUGUCACCUGUGUCACCCCUUUGUCACCUGUGUCCCCCCCCGUGUCCCCUCCCCCACUGACGUCCCCUCUGUCCCCUCUGUCCCUCAGGUGUCCCCAUGGCCGAGGGCGGCCCCUCCCCCCGUGUCCCCCCCGGGGAGGUGACAGAGCCCGGCCCCGCCCGGGGACAGCGCGGGGGUGGCACCGGGGGUGGCACCGGGGGUGGCACCGGGGGUGGCACCGUCUGGGCCGGUGGCAUCACCAUCACCGUCACCGCCGCGCCGGCCGAGGACAGCGGGGACAGCGAGGAUGGGUGGGACAGCGGGGACAGAGGGGACAGAGGGGACAUUGGGGACAGAGGGGACAGUGGGGACAUUGGGGACAGAGGGGACAGAGGGGACAUUGGGGACAUUGGGGGUGUUGGGGACAUUGGGGACAGGGGGGACAUUGGGGACGUUGGGGACAUUGGGGACAGAGGGGACAUUGGGGACAUUGGGGACAUCACGGUCACCACAGCUGCAGGACAGGGCAGUGUCCCCAUCCUGUGUGACAAGGACAUCGGGGGCGUUGGGGACAUUGAAGGUAUUGGGGACAUUUGGGACACUGUGGAUGUUGGGGACAUCGGUGGCCUUGGGGACACUGGGGACAUCGGGGACAUCAGGGACAUCGGGGACCUUGGGGACACUGGGGACAUCAAGGAACUUGGGGACAUUGGGGACAUUGGGGACACUGGGGACAUUGGGGACACUGGGGACAUUGGGGACAUUGGGGACGUUGGGGACAUUGGGGACAUUGGGGACGUUGGGGACAGGGCUGUCCCCACGCUGAUCGUCACUGUCCUGAGGGACGCCACUGGGGACGGGGACACCGGGGACAGGGAGGUGGCAACCCCGGGGGACACCUGGGACAGGGACACUGGGGAUGGGGACACCGGGGACAGGGACAUUGGGGACAUUGGGGACACUCCGGCCUUGGCCCUGCAGGACCUUGGGGACCGUGCUGUCACCUCCCCGGGGGACAUCGGGGACAGGGACAGGGGGGAUGGGGACAUUGUGGACGGUGACGUCACCACCCCGGGUGACAUUUGGGACAGUGGGGACAGCGCCGUCCCCGCCCCGGGGGACAUCGGGGCCGUCACCUGCCGGGCCGGGGGCGUCACCAUCACGGUGCUGGCCCCGCCCCCCGAGGAGGCGGAGCCUGGCGAUGACGUCAUCGCCUAUGACGUCACCGCUGCUGGGGAGGGCGGUGACGUCACCGAGGGGUGGGGCAGCCCCGCCCCUCCGCCCGCCGGUGACGUCACUGCUGACGUCAUUGCUGACAUCACCGAUGACGUCACCUCUGAUGUCACCUCUGAUGCCACCGGCGGCGAUGACGUCACUUCCUCUGUCCCGGAGGAAGUUCCCGCCGGUGACGUCAUCGCCGGUGGUGACGUCAUCACCCCCCGCCCCGCGAGUGGCGUCGCCGAUGACGUCAGUGCCUCGAGGAGUGACGUCAUCGGUGACGUCGUCGCCCCUGGGCGUGACCUCCUUGAUGACGUCAUCAUCGGCCCCGACCUCACCGGUGACAUCACAGCCAAGAGCGACUUCCCGCGGGACCUGGAUGACGUCACCGAUGACAUCAUCACCACAGGUGACGUCAUAACCCCCGACGUCGCUGAUGACAUCAUCAAGCAUGGCUUCCCCUGUGACGUCAUCAGCUGGGGUGACGUCACAGCGCCGCUCCCUGGGGGCGAUGACGUCACACCGGGCAAUGACAUCAUCGACUGUGCCAGCGUCGGUGACGUCAUCGCCGUCUGCUGUGUCCCUCCCCUUCCCGGGGAUGACGUCACCGAUGACGUCAUCCCUGGCGGGCGUCGUCUCGAUGAUGUCAUCCACGGGGGUGACCUCGCCGAUGACGUCACCGAGGACGACGAUGAUGACGUCACCUUCCCCGGCCUGGGGCUCCUCCCCGCUGAUGACGUCACCGCCGCCGAUGACGUCACUUCCUCCCUGGCGGGUGACGUCACCGGGGGCCUCGACGCCGCCUGGGACGACCUCGUCGAUGACGUCACCGCCGAUGAUGACGUCACUGCCGACGAUGACGUCACCGCCGACGAUGACAUCACGCCCUUCCUGCCCUUGGGCUGCCCCCCGGACCCUGACGAUGACGUCAGCGAUGACGUCACGGAUGACGUCGCCCAGGGGGCGGAGAAACCGCUGCUGGGCUCCGCCCCCUUCAGCCGCCGCCACGACGCCGGCGAUGACGUCAGCGAUGACGUCACAGAGGACGCGCCGCGAGGGGGCGGGGCAGGUGAGGGGGUGGGGCUUGAAGGGGCGGGGCCGGAAGGGGCGUGGUCUGCGCUCAUGAGGCGGGGCUUGAUGGGGCGUGUCCCGGUGGGCGUGUCCCGCUCUGACCACGCCCCUUUUUUGGCCCCGCCCCCUCAGGCGCCCCCCAGACGCCCCCCCCCCGGCUGCCCCCUCCUCUUCCUCGCCCUCCUCUGCCUCCUGCUCGUGCUCCUGCUGCUGGCCGGGCUCUGCGCGGUACGGGGGGGAAUCACCUGGGGGGGUAAAAAACUCACCUGGGGGGGGUAAAAACCACAUGGGGGGGUAAAAUUCACC
ensembl:lncRNA